rnacentral:misc_RNA from 1 species
AACAUCGCGCACCUGCGGGAACCUGCGGAAGGAUCAUUAACGAAUUAUCUAGGGGUUGUGCUGGUUCUUACAAGUGCACGCCUCUUUACAAUUCCAUUCACACCCAUCGUGAACUAUAAGAGACGUAUUUCCCCCGUUUACGUGCCGAAAGGCUUGGGACUUCGUCUGUUUUUACACACUCUUGAUCGUAUCAGAACGUCUUUCUAGCGGAAACGCUGAAACAUAAUAUAACUUUCAACA